GAUUCAGUAGCUCAGCAGGUAGAGCACAUCCCUUUUAAGGAUGGGGUCCUGGGUUCGAGCCCCAGCUGAAUCACGA
rnacentral:tRNA from 1 species